AUGGCUGCUCCGCCGCGGCGAAACCCCAACCACGGCGGCAAGAGGAAGGAUGAGGAGCCGUGGCUCGCGGCGGGCAUCCGCCCGGCCAACUUCCUCCCGGGCCUGGCCAUCGGGUUCCUCCUCGGCCUCUCCUCCUCCUGGAGGCCGAGGAUCAGCCUCCCGUCUGCCCCGGCGCCACGGGGCUCCAAGCGGGCCGCCGUCGGUUCGUCCGCCGCCCCAGCACCAGGCGAAGAGCUCAAGAUGGUUUUAGUUGUGCGUCAGGAUCUUAAGAUGGGGGCUGGGAAAAUAGCGUCUCAAUGUGCCCAUGCGGCAACUGGCUUGUACGCGGAUCUGUUGGCAAGCAACCGAGUUCUUUUGAGACAAUGGGAACAGUUCGGACCAUGCAAGAAUCAACAGGAAAUGAACAGGAUAAAGGAAACUGCAGAACACCGAGGUAUCCCAACUUUUGUUGUUGCAGAUGCAGGUCGCACACAGGUACUGGCUGGGUCUAAGACAGUUCUUGCAGUAGGGCCAGGGAGGAAAGCAGACAUAGAUUCAGUUACUGGGAAAUUGCGCUUACUGUGA
rnacentral:rRNA from 1 species